GCCUCCGUGGCGCAACUGGUUAGCGCGUUCGGUUGUUAACCGAAAGGUUGGUGGUUCAAAUCCACCCGGGGGCG
rfam:Asian citrus Psyllid, Diaphorina citri - Florida Strain, whole genome shotgun sequence.